rnacentral:rRNA from 1 species
GGUUAAGCGACUAAGCGUACACGGUGGAUGCCCUGGCAGUCAGAGGCGAUGAAGGACGUGCUAAUCUGCGAUAAGCGUCGGUGAGGUGAUAUGAACCGUUAUAACCGGCGAUUUCCGAAUGGGGAAACCCAGUGUGUUUCGACACACUAUCAUUAACUGAAUCCAUAGGUUAAUGAGGCGAACCGGGGGAACUGAAACAUCUAAGUACCCCGAGGAAAAGAAAUCAACCGAGAUUCCCCCAGUAGCGGCGAGCGAACGGGGAGGAGCCCAGAGCCUGAAUCAGUGUGUGUGUUA